UACAGAGGGGGCAAGCGUUGUUCGGAAUUACUGGGCGUAAAGGGUUAGUAGGUGGCCAACUAAGUCAGACGUGAAAUCCCUCAGCUUAACUGGGGAACUGCGUCUGAGACUGAUUGGCUCGAGGACAGGAGAGGAACGCGGAAUUCCAGGUGUAGCGGUGAAAUGCGUAGAUAUCUGGAGGAACACCGGUGGCGAAGGCGGCGUUCUGGACUGUUUCUGACACUGAAUAACGAAAGCCAGGGGAGCAAACGGG
rnacentral:rRNA from 1 species